CCUACGGGAGGCAGCAGUGGGGAAUCUUGCGCAAUGGGCGAAAGCCUGACGCAGCCAUGCCGCGUGAAUGAUGAAGGUCUUAGGAUUGUAAAAUUCUUUCACCGGGGACGAUAAUGACGGUACCCGGAGAAGAAGCCCCGGCUAACUUCGUGCCAGCAGCCGCGGUAAUACGAAGGGGGCUAGCGUUGCUCGGAAUUACUGGGCGUAAAGGGAGCGUAGGCGGAUAGUUCAGUCAGAGGUGAAAGCCCAGGGCUCAACCUUGGAACUGCCUUUGAUACUGGCUAUCUUGAGUUUGGGAGAGGUGUGUGGAACUCCGAGUGUAGAGGUGAAAUUCGUAGAUAUUCGGAAGAACACCAGUGGCGAAGGCGACACACUGGCCCAAUACUGACGCUGAGGCUCGAAAGCGUGGGGAGCAAACAGGAUUAGAUACCCUGGUAGUCCACGCUGUAAACGAUGAGUGCUAGUUGUCGGGAUGCAUGCAUGUCGGUGACGCAGCUAACGCAUUAAGCACUCCGCCUGGGGAGUACGGUCGCAAGAUUAAAACUCAAAGGAAUUGACGG
rnacentral:rRNA from 1 species